CCAUCACACAACCAAACCCAGCUGAUACAGUAGUGGAAGGCGAUGGCUUCCUGGCCCUCCCACUGGGUCCUCCCACAAGCAACUGGUUAAUGCAGUGAGGUGAUCCACAGCUGCCAGUCUCUUUAUUUUCUGCUGCAUGAGCUUGUCACUGCUGAUUAGAAGAGAAGCAAAGCAGAGGUUUGCAGGUCUGUGUUGCAUCUGUCAGCACACUGCAAGCCCACAAGAAACAGAGAAAUGGAACUAGGCACAAAGGCCAUUUCCAAUUUCUUUAAGCCCCUAACCUGGGUGGAAUUCAGAGAACUACUAUCUGAAGCCUAAGUUCCCAAUGGCGAGGGACAAGUCCCUCCGACAGAUGUUUCACAGCACUGGCUUCGUUUUGUGCAAGUUUUCCUCGUGUAGGACUGAGCCUUCAGUGGGGCUCCCACAUGGUCUGGCUGGUGGCUUUGCCCCUUUGCUGGAAAGGAAAAGGCAGCUUCAUUCAGCCAAAAUCCCAUGACACUGGAAAUGGAUGAGAAAUCUCAGGCAAAACAAUCGUGAGGGAACUGCAAGGCCCGCUGAAUCUUUGCAAAUCUGACUGCUUAUUUGGAUAACAAGGCAUCUCCUCUGAGAAGAGCUUCACAGAGAAAAUUGUAAAGUACCUUCGGCAGAAGUCAUGAACCUGAUGAUGGAAUAAGUAACAAGAUACUGAAUCUGAAUGAACUACAUUUUGCUUUGAAACAUGCUGGUCUAAGGCACAAAGCCCUGGUAGCGUUUGGUCCUGAAGCCUCCGUUUAGCUGAGGUCUUCCGUACUCCCACCUGAGGCUCAGGCAGAGAAGGCAAUGAGCUGCCUGCAGCAGAGGGCAGCAGCAGGCCUCUGCACUCCUACCACAGACCGGCCUUCCUUGUUAGCCCUGUUGGCAGCUCAUGGUGAGAAACAUGCAGUAUGUGUUCCCGUAAAUCACCAUGUAUUCCUGUAAGUCACUAUGUAUUCCUGUAAAUCAGUAUGUAUUCCUGUAAGGGAAUGCUAAAUGUAAAGCAGCUCAGUAAGUGAUGGCCCUGUUACUGAAUAAAGUAUUUGAUGUGCUGGCAGCUCUUGUUAGAAAUACCUGAAGCCGCAGGCUGGUGCGUUUGAGCCAUAUUGUGUGAGAGGUGGCCCAAGUAUAUGGUGAGGAGAGUGUUUCUAGCCAGGAAACUCUUAAGACAUUAACUUGAUA